GAGGCGGGACUAGCACAGGUGGGAUCCACAACUUACAUCACCAUCAUUAAGGCUAUAUAAUGGAGUGAACUUCUGACAUUAGCAGAAGACUCUCACUGACUGACAAGCCAUACACAGCUGAACACGUUUGGAUACUCAGUCUACUCUGUACCACAAGUACAAACAGAACUCUUGAAGAGCUCAACAAAGAAACAGAAAACAAGCGCAAAUCAAUAUGACUGGACAAGAUCUAACUGCCAUUCUGGACUGUGCGCAUCAGCUGCGUAAAGUUGGAGACAUCCUCGCUAGUGACACCCUGGACUGGAGAUCCAAAUUAUUGGAAAUAUUGACAAAACAUUACAAGAAUAUAAUCAAAGUCAAGUGAGGGAGUUCAACCCACUCAGUGAAGAUCACGGAAACAAGAAGAUAGAAUACUAUCUCAGUCCGCAGUUUUGGUAGCUGUGCAGCAGUCCCGCCUGGUCGUUCAGAGGUGCAUUUGCAGCCACCUGAGAUGGAAGUCAAGAAGACAGUCUGCCUGGACCUGCCCCACAAUCCAAUAUUCAAUGGCAAAGUGUCCAGUGCUCACCCCCCCACCAUGUCAAUGGAGAGUGAAAAGGAUCAGUAACAUUGUGUAAUGGCAAAACCAGUGGACCUCUGCUGGUUUGUCGUUGGGACAUUUGGUAGCCCGAUGGGCAGCCAUUCACAUGGACGUCAAACGCGAACAUCGGAACCAGAGCUGACAGGACCGAUCCUACAAGAAAGUACGAUGACAAAGGAGGAUUAUCAGUUGUUGGGGACAUGUUUUGGAUCAUGGACACAUGACUUUGAAGUGCUCUGAUGCCUUAUGUGAGGCUUACAUUCAUUUUGUUUUAAAGAAUUGUGCCUUGAGCGAUUAAAAGUUGUUUUCAAAAUCUGCAA